rnacentral:lncRNA from 1 species
AGGAGACCCCUACUACCCAUACCAGUAGACCCUUUCACUUUAACCAUCGACUAACGAAACUCGAUCGAUUUAUCACGACAAACCCGACACUAAACCCAAUUGGUUUCAAGUUUCAAAACCCCGAGGUACUCAUGUGAGGAGUACUAUAUCUUUACAACCUUCCCGUAGUAUCCCCCAACAGAUCAUUUAGAAAUACCACACAUACAACGAGUCAAAUCCAAGCUCAGAAACUAGGAGUGAAUUCAACCAUGAACUUCAAAACGUAGCUGCCCUAAUGCAUCGAGUGAAUAUUCUAACAUUUAGAAGAACAUAAGUAAAUAAACCCAAAACCACACGAUCCCGAUCGGUCGAAGUGAUAGGCGGAGUAAUGAAGGUCCGCUGAAACACGCACAUUAGGAUCUAGAUUCAUAAAGGAACAAGAGGAACAAAUCGACCAGAAGCACUCUCGCCUGCCCGCAAGAAUUGGAGUCCCAGUCAAAAUGCGAAUUUCGGGACGAAAUUCUCUCUAACGGGGGGAUAAUGUAACAACAGCAAAAUUCAGGUCAAAAUUUAAACUUUUAUAAAACCGUAAUUGAGUAUACUAAGUGGUAAAUAUCGUAACAAGGUUUUCAUACAUAUAAAGAACACAAAAAUCCGAGUUAUAACGAGGAAGUUAUAACCAUUCUAAAAUUCCCGACAAAACCGGCAACACCGAUUAAACGAAAAACGCGAAGUUUAAUACAAUAGUUUUUAGCCUUAAGUAUCUAAAUAAAAGUUAUAGAUAACAUCAAACCGUGAGCGUACAUAAAAAGAACGUCCAAAUCUGACUUCGUAUGAGGAAGUUAUGAUUUUUCCAAGGUUCGGGUAUAGCAGUAGACAGCUAAAAACUCGAAAUAGAGCUCGAGAUACUUUUGACCAAAACAACCUAAAUGAGAAUCGAAGGUCUCAACAUUAGUAGCGCAACGGCGAAAAGUCUGACGAAAACGGACAUCGGAUGAAGAAGUUAUGGAAUUUUAACGGACUUUUCGUGUUCCGGCCCGUUAAAAAUAAAUAAUUAAAAAUAAAUUCAGAAUUUGCUGAUGAAGUCUAAACGAGAGUUGUAGAUCAUAUUUUUAGCUACGCGUGCAUAUAAAGAACGUCGAAAACGGAGCUCGUAUGCGAAAGUUAUGGAUUUUACAAGUUCGGGGUCCAAAAUCUGAGGCUGUCAGGCCCCCACGACGUGGCACAGCUUGGCCGCGACCCGGCAAGCGACUGAGGGCGUCCAAUCAACGGAAGGGGAUAGGGCUUGCUCCCCACGACGUGGCCAACCCUAGCCACGAUGUGGCACUCAAAAAUACCCCCUAUAAAUAGAACUCUUGGGGUGCCGGGUUUAGGUGCUCCAUUCUUCCCUCUCUCGUGAUGAAACUCUGCGGUUAAGCUACAGAAGCCCUCCCGAAGCCCCGGUUUUCACACUCAAGUUCCAAAGGAAGGUUCUACUCUCCCGAGAUUUCCGAGAUUCUCAAGAAUCCCGAGGAAAAUCGACUUUCACGAGCCGAAGUUCUGCUCCAUUUUCUUCUCGUUUUCCCCAAUCAAUCAAGUGAGUUCAUACCCCUAUAAUCUACACUUUCAAAUGUUUUGUAAAUGCUUUUAUACACUUUUAAGGGGGGGAAUACAAGUAAACACACGACUAAAAUCGUGUGAAACAUCGAUCUUUUGCUAUACUUUUCAUACUGUUGUUUUAACUAUCUUAUGAAGUCAUUAUCAUGCAAAAUACCUCACAACACAACUUUACCCUCUUGGGAUAAAAGAUGUUUAUAAAUAGAAAUAUGUUUUAUUUAUACGUAUACAUACAAAUACAUUAUAUCAAGGGUAACCAUCUUUGCUAAACCAUUUUAUGCAUUCAAAGAACUUAUGAUUUAUGCUUUGUUGGACAUUGUGAAAAAGGAUAAACUUUACAUACAAAACUACUACUUUAAUACAGACUUAGUUGAGAAUCCGUGAGACGUGUACAUCUUCAAAUACUACCUUUUGCUAAAAGGUAUCGCUACAAGUCCUGUCUAUAACCAGAGUCUCCCGUUCGGAGAACGUGUCAAAUGUGUAUAGAUCUAUACGGGAAGUCAUGAUCCCGCGCCCUGACUGUUAGCUACAGUCCGUCUUUUGGGGUGACAGUUGUCAUAACGCUACGACGCCUGAAGAACGUCGCUACAGGCAUAUUAUGUUUAGUAUGGUUAUAAAACUCACCGGAUAUACAAUUAUUAUGGUAUUAUGUUUUUAUGAAUGAGUAGCUAUUAAAACUAUUCUUCAUCUAACAAGUGCGAUCUUCGUAUAGCUUUAUUAUAUAAAACUAUGCCACAACUUUUAAGCACGUCGGUUGCUUGCGAUUUUCGGUCUUAGAGACUGCCAGUUAUGUUAGGAAAAUAAGGGUUUUUCCUGUAUACAAACCAAACAACUAUUAGGAAAAUAAGGGAUUUUCUUGGUUCAACUAGCUACAUUUUUCAACACAAAUACUCUCAUGCAUUUCAUACUUUUAUAAGAAAAUAAGGGAUUUUCUUGGAAAAAUAUACACUCAUUUUGGAAUGGCAUUCAAUGUUUCUAAAUCACUUAUGAACUCACCAACUUAAUUGUUGACACUUUUUCCUUGAAAUAACUUGUAUUCUCAGGGAACCGUUAAGCAGGUUUGGAAAUCAACUUUUGAGGAUUAACGUGCUGACGUUAAUUACUUCUUUUGAAAAAUGUUUAUGUAUUUAUCUGUUGAACAUGUAACGAAUACAAUUAUGUAAACAUUUUGGAAACCUUAAUAUGUAUGGUGGUGUGUACUUUCCUUUCUAUGAACUGUUAUGAUACUGAAUAUGACGUCCUCCGCCCCUGAACGUUUCCGCCGUUCUGGUUUGGGUGUGUGAUAGAUUGGUAUCAGAGCAUUGUUUAUAGUGAACUAAGUAUAUCAAAACCAUUUUUGAUAUACAACUAUAAACACAACUGGGCAAAAACACUCUGAGUAAGAGUCAUACUUUUAAAAUUAAAUUUAUUUAGUUUUGUAAAGUAGGCAUGCAUUCAUUUCAUAUUAAUAACAUGGUCAGUAUCAUAACUAAAACAAUAUAGAAGUAUUAUAAAUAAGUUGCGCAGUGCAGGUAUGCCUUGGGACAUGUAAUCGGAACUGGGAAGAAUAUAGCCUGAUCAACUAUAUUUGUCCAAGAGCCGACUAACGUAUGCCAAGGAGUGUCUGCAAUGGACAACAAAUUUAAAACUUACCAAACUUAUAAACUUUAGAAUCAAACAUAACAUUUAGAAUACUAUAGGAAUAUUUUAUGAAUACGAUAGUUUAACGUUGAGGUCAACCUUGUGUGCCUUAGUUCUAGACAAUCCUUAUCUCCUUAUUCUCGUACAAACACAAUGGCUGGAUUUCCACCUAGCAGGAGACCCCUACUACCCAUACCAGUAGACCCUUUCACUUUAACCAUCGACUAACGAAACUCGAUCGAUUUAUCACGACAAACCCGACACUAAACCCAAUUGGUUUCAAGUUUCAAAACCCCGAGGUACUCAUGUGAGGAGUACUAUAUCUUUACAACCUUCCCGUAGUAUCCCCCAACAGAUCAUUUAGAAAUACCACACAUACAACGAGUCAAAUCCAAGCUCAGAAACUAGGAGUGAAUUCAACCAUGAACUUCAAAACGUAGCUGCCCUAAUGCAUCGAGUGAAUAUUCUAACAUUUAGAAGAACAUAAGUAAAUAAACCCAAAACCACACGAUCCCGAUCGGUCGAAGUGAUAGGCGGAGUAAUGAAGGUCCGCUGAAACACGCACAUUAGGAUCUAGAUUCAUAAAGGAACAAGAGGAACAAAUCGACCAGAAGCACUCACGCCUGCCCGCAAGAAUUGGAGUCCCAGUCAAAAUGCGAAUUUCGGGACGAAAUUCUCUCUAACGGGGGGAUAAUGUAACAACAGCAAAAUUCAGGUCAAAAUUUAAACUUUUAUAAAACCGUAAUUGAUUAUACUAAGUGGUAAAUAUUGUAACAAGGUUUUCAUACAUAUAAAGAACACAAAAAUCCGAGUUAUAACGAGGAAGUUAUAACCAUUCUAAAAUUCCCGACAAAACCGGCAACACCGAUUAAACGAAAAACGCGAAGUUUCAAUACAAUAGUUUUUAGCCUUAAGUAUCUAAAUAAAAGUUAUAGAUAACAUCAAACCGUGAGCGUACAUAAAAAGAACGUCCAAAUCUGACUUCGUAUGAGGAAGUUAUGAUUUUUCCAAGGUUCGGGUAUAGCAGUAGACAGCUAAAAACUCGAAAUAGAGCUCGAGAUACUUUUGACCAAAACAACCUAAAUGAGAAUCGAAGGUCUCAACAUUAGUAGCGCAACGGCGAAAAGUCUGACGAAAACGGACAUCGGAUGAAGAAGUUAUGGAAUUUUAACGGACUUUUCGUGUCCCGGCCCGUUAAAAAUAAAUAAUUAAAAAUAAAUUCAAAAUUUGCCAAUGAAGUCUAAACGAGAGUUGUAGAUCAUAUUUUUAGCUACGCGUGCAUAUAAAGAACGUCGAAAACGGAGCUCGUAUGCGAAAGUUAUGGAUUUUACAAGUUCGGGGUCCAAAAUCCGAGGCUGUCAGGCCCCACGACGUGGCACAAGCUUGCCGCGACCCGGCAAGUGACUGAGGGCGUCCAAUCAAUGGAAGAGGAUAGGUUUGACUCCCCACGACGUGGCCAUCACUUGCCACGACGUGGCACACCCCAAAAAUGCCCCUAUAAGUAGAUUUCAAGGGCUCCGAGUUCCAUUGUUCAGUUCUUUUCUUUCUCGCGCCGAAACUCUGCGUUUAAGCCCCCGAGACCCUCCCAAAGCCCCGGUUUUCACCUUCAAGUCCCGAAGGAAGGUUUUGUGUUCUCGAGAUUCCCGAGAAUCCCGAUAUUUUCCCGCGUUUCCAACUCUUCCUGUCGAAGUUCUGCUCGAUUCUCCUCUCGACUACUUCAAAUCAACCACUUCAAUCAAGUGAGUUCAUACCCCUACAACCACACUUUAAAUGAUUUUUAAAUGCUUUUGUAACACUUUUAAGGGGGGGGAAUACAAGUAAACACAUGACUAAGAUCGUGUGAAACAUUGAUCUUUUGCUAUACUUUUCAUACUGUUGUUUUAACUAUCUUAUGAAGUUUUUAUCAAUGCAAAACACCUCACAACACAACUUUACCCUCUUGGGAUACAAUAUGUUUUAUAAAUAGAAAUAUGUUUUAUUUAUACGUUUGAAUACUACAUCAUAUCAAGGUUAACCAUUUCAAAUAUAACAUGAUGCUUUUAAAAGAAAACUCAACUCAUCAUCACGUUUUUGUAACACGGUAGAAAACGAAAUCAUUUCAUACAAACGAUUUUCAUCAUAUUACUCGUGAACUUGUUGUUAGCAAUCAUGUGAUGUCAUAUGGCUUUGUUUGUACCAAACGAAAGUCCCCACCUAUAACCAGAGUCUCUUGGAGGGAGAGCGUGACAAGUGUGUAUAGAUCUAUACGGGGCUGACAAC